rnacentral:rRNA from 1 species
UACGGAGAAGGCAAGCGUUGUUCGGAAUCACUGGGCUUAAAGCGCGUGUAGGCGGGCUCGUUAGUCGGGUGUGAAAUCCCUCGGCUUAACCGGGGAACUGCACCCGAAACUGCGAGUCUUGAGUCAAUCAGGGGUCGAUGGAACUUCAGGUGGAGCGGUGAAAUGCGUAGAUAUCUGAAGGAACGCCAGUGGCGAAAGCGGUCGACUGGGAUUGUACUGACGCUGAGACGCGAAAGCGUGGGGAGCGAACGGGAUUAGAUACCCCGGUA